ensembl:ribozyme RNaseP_nuc Nuclear RNase P
GGCAGAGGAAGCUCAUCAGUGGGGCCACGAGCUGAGUGUGUCACAUCACUCUACCCCAUGUCCCUUGGGCAAGUCUGAGACUAGGACCAGUAGUGGCCCUAACAGGGCUCUUCCUGAGUCCCAGGGAGGUGAGAAAUAGUUCUUGACUUAUUCCUGAAGACAGGUGAGCUCUUCAUAGCAGUCUGAAUCUGCGAAACUUGGCCCUCCAUCUCUCCAUUCU